rnacentral:rRNA from 1 species
UNUGACUUGAGUGCAGAAGGGGAGAGUGGAAUUCCAUGUGUAGCGGUGAAAUGCGUAGAUAUANGGAGGAACACCAGUGGCGAAAGCGGCUCUCUGGUCUGUCACUGACGCUGAGGCUCGAAAGCGUGGGUAGCGAACAGGAUUAGAUACCCUGGUAGUCCACGCCGUAAACGAUGAGUGCUAGGUGUUAGGCCCUUUCCGGGGCUUAGUGCCGGAGCUAACGCAAUAAGCACUACGCCUGGGGAGUACGACCGCAAGGUUGAAACUCAAAGGAAUUGACGGGGGCCCGCACAAGCGGUGGAGCACGUGGUUUAAUUCGAAGCAACGCGAAGAACCUUACCAGGUCUUGACAUCCCGAUGCUAUUCUUAGAGAUAGGAAGUUACUUCGGUACAUCGGAGACAGGUGGUGCAUGGUUGUCGUCAGCUCGUGUCGUGAGAUGUUGGGUUAAGUCCCGCAACGAGCGCAACCCUUAUUGUUAGUUGCCAUCAUUAAGUUGGGCACUCUAGCGAGACUGCCGGUAAUAAACCGAAGGAAGGUGGGGAUGACGUCAAAUCAUCAUGCCCCUUAUGACCUGGGCUACACACGUGCUACAAUGGUCGGUACAACGAGUUGCGAGCCGGUGACGGCAAGCUAAUCUCUGAAAGCCAGUCUCAGUUCGGAUUGUAGGCUGCAACUCGCCUACAUGAAGUCGGAAUCGCUAGUAAUCGCGGAUCAGCACGCCGCGGUGAAUACGUUCCCGGGCCUUGUACAC